UAGGGAAUAUUGCGCAAUGGGAGCAAUCCUGACGCAGCAACGCCGCGUGGGUGAUGAAGGCCUUCGGGUCGUAAAGCUCUGUCGGAUGGAAAGAAACGGAUGCGGGUUAAUAGCCUUCAUCCCUGACGGUACCAUCAGAGGAAGCACCGGCUAACUCCGUGCCAGCAGCCGCGGUAAUACGGGGGGUGCAAGCGUUGUUCGGAAUCAUUGGGCGUAAAGCGCGUGUAGGCGGCUUGGUAAGUCAGGUGUGAAAGCCCUGGGCUCAACCCAGGAAGUGCACUUGAAACUGCCUUUCUUGAGUACGGGAGAGGAAAGGGGAAUUGCUGGUGUAGAGGUGAAAUUCGUAGAUAUCAGGAGGAACACCGGUGGCGAAGGCGGCUUUCUGGCCCAAUACUGACGCUGAGACGCGAAAGCGUGGGGAGCAAACA
rnacentral:rRNA from 1 species